ensembl:lncRNA
GAGAGAAAAUGCGUGAUUUUGGGGUGAAAGGUGGUAUAUUUGGGGGAGAAAUGUGUUAUUUCCCGGCAAAAAGUGUAUUUUUGGGUAGAUAAUGCGUGAUGUUUGGACAGAGGUGCUAUUGUUCGAGGGGGAAACUGCGUGAUUUUCGGGUGAAAACUUGUAUUUUCGGAGUGACAAUGCAUGGUUUUUGUUAGAAAAGUCAUAUUUUCCUAAAGAAAAUGCGUGAUUUUUGUGUGCACGGUGGUAUUUUCGGGAAGAAAAUGCAUGAUUUUCGGGGGAAACGUGGUAUAUUUGGGGUAGAAAUGUGUUAUCACCCAGCGACAAGUGGUGUUUUCGGGAAGGAAUGCAGGAUUUUUGGGAGACAGGUGGUAUUUUUGGAUGAAAAUGCAGGAUUUUCGAGAGAAAAGUGGUAUUUCUCGAGAGAAAAUGCGUGAUUUUGGGGUGAAAGGUGGUAUAUUUGGGGGAGAAAUGUGUUAUUUCCCGGCAAAAAGUGGUAAUUUCGGGAAGGAAGUGCAGAAUUUUUGGGCGACAGGUGGUAUUUUCGGGGUGAAAAUGUGUGAUUUUCGAAAAAAAAGUGGUAUUUCUCGAGAGAAAAUGCGUGAUUUUGGGGUGAAAGGUGGUAUAUUUGGGGUAGAUGUGUUUUUCUCCAGCAAAAAGUGGUAUUUUCGGGUAGAAAAUGUGUGAUGUUUGGACAGAGGUGCUAUUGUUCGAGGGGGAAACUGCGUGAUUUUCGGGUGAAAACUUGUAUUUUCGGAGUGACAAUGCAUGGUUUUUGUUAGAAAAGUCAUAUUUUCCUAAAGAAAAUGCGUGAUUUUUGUGUGCACGGUGGUAUUUUCGGGAAGAAAAUGCAUGAUUUUCGGGGGAAACGUGGUAUAUUUGGGGUAGAAAUGUGUUAUCACCCAGCGACAAGUGGUGUUUUCGGGAAGGAAUGCAGGAUUUUUGGGAGACAGGUGGUAUUUUUGGAUGAAAAUGCAGGAUUUUCGAGAGAAAAGUGGUAUUUCUCGAGAGAAAAUGCGUGAUUUUGGGGUGAAAGGUGGUAUAUUUGGGGGAGAAAUGUGUUAUUUCCCGGCAAAAAGUGGUAAUUUCGGGAAGGAAGUGCAGAAUUUUUGGGCGACAGGUGGUAUUUUCGGGGUGAAAAUGUGUGAUUUUCGAAAAAAAAGUGGUAUUUCUCGAGAGAAAAUGCGUGAUUUUGGGGUGAAAGGUGGUAUAUUUGGGGGAGAAAUGUGUUAUUUCCCAGCGAAAAGUGGUAUUUUCAAGAAGGAAGUGCAGAAUUUUUGGGAGACAGGUGGUAUUUUCGGGGUGAAAAUGCAUGAUUUUCGAGAGAAAAGUGGUAUUUCUCGAGAGAAAAUGCGUGAUUUUGGGGUGAAAGGUGGUAUAUUUGGGGUAGAUAUGUGUUUUUCUCCAGCAAAAAGUGGUAUUUUCGGGUAGAAAAUGUGUGAUGUUUGGACAGAGGUGCUAUUUUUCGAGGGGGAAAGGCGUGAUUUUCAAGCAAAAACUUGUAGUUUCGGAGUGACAAUGCAUGGUUUUCGUUAGCAAAGUCGUAUUUUCCUAAAGAAAAUGCGUGAUUUUUGGGAGAAG